AGCUUUGCGCAGUGGCAGUAUCGUAGCCAAUGAGGUUUAUCCGAGGCGUGAUUAUUGCUAAUUAAAAUGGAUAAAUAAUAUUAGUAAACAUUUCUCUAAAGAAGACAAAAUGAUCCAUAAACACAUGAAAAGAUGUGUUUAUAGCUUUGUGGAAUUGCAAUUUGCA
rfam:Mustela putorius furo unplaced genomic scaffold scaffold00049, whole genome shotgun sequence.